GGGAAGGUGGCUCAGUGGUAGAGUGCUUGUCUUGCAUGCAUGAGGCCCUGGGUUCGAUUCCUUAGCACCCA
rnacentral:tRNA from 1 species